UACGGAGGGUGCAAGCGUUUAAUCGGAAUUACUGGGCGUAAAGCGUGCGUAGGCGGUUCGUUAAGUCUGUUGUGAAAGCCCCGGGCUCAACCUGGGAAUGGCAAUGGAUACUGGCGAGCUAGAGUACGAAAGAGGAUCGCGGAAUUCCCGGUGUAGAGGUGAAAUUCGUAGAUAUCGGGAGGAACACCGGUGGCGAAGGCGGCGAUCUGGGUCGAUACUGACGCGUGAGGUGCGAAAGCGUGGGGAGCAAACAGG
rnacentral:rRNA from 1 species